rnacentral:rRNA from 1 species
UACAGAGGGGGCAAGCGUUGUUCGGAAUUACUGGGCGUAAAGGGCGCGUAGGCGGCCUUCUAAGUCGAACGUGAAAUCCCUGGGCUCAACCCAGGAACUGCGUCCGAUACUGGGAGGCUUGAAUCCGGGAGAGGGAUGUGGAAUUCCAGGUGUAGCGGUGAAAUGCGUAGAUAUCUGGAGGAACACCGGUGGCGAAGGCGGCAUCCUGGACCGGUAUUGACGCUGAGGCGCGAAAGCCAGGGGAGCAAACGGG